CAGGCCGGCCGGAUGACCGCGGCGGCAAAUGCCACCGAGGAAAGUCCGCACUCCACACAGCAAGGCGCCGGGUAACACCCGGGUCGGGGUAACCCGACGGAUAGGGCCACAGAAACAUACCGCACCUCUUCUCCUCCCCCAUUUUCUUGCUCCCCUCUCCCUUCCAGGGAGAGGGUUAGGGUGAGGGUGGUUUUUGGGGGAGGUGGGAGGGGGUGCAAGGGUGAAAUGGCGGUGUAAGAGACCACCGGCGUGGAUGGCAACACUCACGGCCAGGUAACCCCCGCUCGGAGCAAGGUCAAGCAGAGGCAAUCCCACACGGAGGUGGCUGCUCGCCACCCGGGUCGCAAGACCCGCAGCCUCGGGUAGACUGCACGAGAUGCGCGGCAACUCGCAUCCCAGAUAGAUGGUCAUCGCCGCAGGGCAACCUGCGGGCACAGAAUGCGGCUUACAAGCUGGCCUGGGGA
rnacentral:RNase_P_RNA from 2 species